UACAGAGGAUGCAAGCGUUAUCCGGAAUUAUUGGGCGUAAAGCGCUGGUAGGUGGCUUGUUAAGUCGCGUGUGAAAGCUCCAGGCUCAACCUGGAAAGUGCGCGCGAAACUGGCGAGCUUGAGUGCCGGAGAGGGUCGCGGAAUUCCCGGUGUAGAGGUGAAAUUCGUAGAUAUCGGGAGGAACACCAGAGGCGAAGGCGGCGACCUGGAAGGUAACUGACACUGAGCAGCGAAAGCGUGGGGAGCAAACAGG
rnacentral:rRNA from 1 species